GCUUGAAGUUUGCUGCCUCCUUUGCGUUUACAGCAUCAAAGGAUAUUACGUACAGCUGCAAACGAAACCGUUGGUUUUGGGAAUGACAAACGAACAUCUGGUAUGAUGAGAAGUGCCCUGUCGCAGUGGAGAAAAAACAUAUUGCCUACAUCGCAACGUUACGAACCAACGGACCACAACACGUGCGGGAUAGGCUAGACACCGAGGAGGGAAGCGAGAAGCAUUUGCAGACAAAAAAAGAGGCCGAAAUAUACCACACAAAACUGUGUCCAAGANUAAGUGGUUCUGGAAGUCAUAAUUGAACUCAAAAUCAGAGGGACUAAGUACUUUAGUGAAGUAAAUAAUACAUUAGUGAAGCACAUCACUACGUCGAGCUGCUAACAAAAUAGUAACCUAAAAAGUGUAUAAAGUCACUCGCACACAAUAUGUUGAUAUUAUACUAAUUCAUUUCUACAUUUGAACUUAUCUAUAUAUAUAAAAAUAAGAGGCAAUUUAAUGGUACGCUAUAGCUCAAGAACCACUGAACGAAUCACCUCCAAAUGUUUAGGGUACCUUCGGGACUAUGAGUAGAUGGUUUCUGUGAAGUUUGCAUUGCAUUGGACAAGUNGUUUCAAAGAUAUAUGGUCUGUUCUGAAAUGCACCAUGUUGCGCAAACUGCUUUUGCCGGACCAGCAGCACUGCAAAAUGUUAGCAGUUAAAUAAUCAACCGCCAACUUGCGGUCUUAACGACCUUACCGACUCCUGGACUGGACUUUGGCUCUUAAAUGGAUUAUGAUUACGAAUUAAUGUUUUGCAUUUCGGUUUGAAUCGUGAACUAGAAGCUGUGCCUAUAGAAUUUUGAAGAAGAGAAGAGAGAGAGGAAAUUUGAAUACAAGUCGGAGAGUUUUCGCAUACAUAUCGACAACUUACUGAUGAAAUAGCGGACAGCAUCGGAGAAUGUUAUUAUCUUCAUUAGCACAAAUCAUCAACCGUUUGAAUUAAUUGACAGCCUGAUAUUUGUAUACUUCAUUAUGAACAAUUUAUGUUGCUCCGAAAGAGGUCAUUUGGAAGCAAGAAUUAAAAAUAACUUUGAUUGAGAUGUGUUUCCAGAUAAUAGCGUUUUUAAAGGUUCUGGUGGCGGACUUAGUGNUGGCAGAGAAAUUUUUCCAGAUGUGCAACAUAAACCGGCCGAUUCAACUUUGUGUUUACAACGAUUUUGAUGAAUAGUCUACUUCAGGAUCAUAUUGAAAAGCAAGACGAUUGAAUGAUGUGCGUGUCAAUGCUCGACGAUUUUAGUACCGCCUCACGUUGGCUCAAUGUAUUAGCACGAAGACGUUGAUUGCGUUGCUCUGAAUUCUCAUUUGCACGUGAGUUUGCUAUUUGUUCUCUUACAUUGGCAUUAGUUGUUAAGUGCUCUUCUACUAUUCUGUUCAAUCGGUGGUUCCGGACGACUUGCGCAUUAUAAGAACGUCGACCAAUGUGUUUUGCUCUUCCACGAAGACGGGGCAUUUAUUUGUAAAAAUAAUAUAUACAAUGAAUCUAUAUGUACUUGUAACAGUAACAAAUUCCAAAAUAAAUAGUUUUGAGAAGAAAGUACAAAAAGUAACAAAUG
rnacentral:lncRNA from 1 species